AGCAAAGUUGACGGCUCGCGUCAAGUGUCAUGUCUAGGAAAAGGCAUGAACGAAAGAACUCAUGCGUUCUGCGGUGCGCCGUUCGGUCCGUUGCC
rnacentral:ncRNA from 1 species